rnacentral:rRNA from 1 species
UACGUAGGGGGCUAGCGUUGUCCGGAUUUAUUGGGCGUAAAGAGCGUGUAGGCGGCCAGGUAGGUCUGGUGUGAAAACUCGAGGCUUAACCUCGAGAUGUCAUCGGAAACCAUCUGGCUAGAGUCCGGAAGAGGAGAGUGGAAUUCCUGGUGUAACGGUGAAAUGCGCAGAUAUCAGGAAGAACACCAAUGGCGAAAGCAGCUCUCUGGGACGGUACUGACGCUGAGACGCGAAAAGCGUGGGGAGCGAACAGG